GCUAUUGUCCGCACUGUUUCGGAAUAUUGCAGCUUUUUUCAAAUCUAGAUCUGUCGUUGUGUGUCAGUCGUGAGCUCUUUGCCUUCAUUUGUAUGACAAUGGUCUUAGAGAAACACGGAAAGAUUCUUGAAUGUAGUCUCGACAACAUAGAGCUUUUAGUUUUACAAAUAACAUCAACUAAUGCCAAACGAAGUGUUUCAUUUUCUAAUGCUUGCUGUUUGUAUGAUAUGAUCAAGGAUGCUGAACAUGGAUUGUUUUGGAGUUUAAAAUUAACAACACUGUUUGAGAAGGGUGUAAAGUUUCUCAGUGAUUUAAAAAAUGUAACCACAGAAGAAAUAGAAAAAAUGGAUAUUCACAAGAAGGCGGCUGUAAAGCUUCUUGACAACUUUUUAAAGACUAAAGAUGAAAUUGAGAAAAGUCUUCACAAAGGACUAAUCAGCAACAGUGAAUCACCCAUUACAAAGACAGAUAUUAACAUUGUAUUUGCUGAACAUUUAUUGGGAAAACUUGCACCUGGUGGAUCCUACAUUAUUGAUGCAAACACAAAAAAUAAAGAUACAUGCAGAUGUGGUUGUGGAGUGUAUCCAGCAUUUGAAAGCACAGGAAUAGUGAAGGGCACGAAGAAGUAUGGCAUGGACAUGUUGAUAUGGUCCUCUCAUCUCAAAGAGGAUUCCCUGACGAAAGCCUAUGUGAUGGCAUACCUGUACACUUUUACACAGAUAUAUCUGAUGCAGACACAUCAGAGGACGACUCUAUGCCUUCAGCUUCUUUAGAUGAAACACCCUGCAAACGAAGAAAGUCGGAGACUGAGAGACUCUCUUCUGGUGACAAUACAGCCAUAGACGUAAAACCUCCCACAACAUCUGCGACUAAAGAGGAUGCUAUUGAACAGGCGCUUGCACAGACAAUAGUUACUUCUUUACUUCAAAAGCAGCGCCAUGAAAAUCUUGAAAGUUAUUUAAUGCCUGGUAUAUUAAUUACACCACAUAAUUUUCAGAUAACAAUGUAUGAUGCUGAAAAUGAUAUACUGCUCUGCAGCAACGAGAUUCCAUUAUUUUUACCCCCCAGUGAUUAUUGUUUAAACCCCAAAGCUGUUUUGACUCUCUGGUUAGUUCUUCACUAUAGAAUGUUCUGCUCUGGAUUAAAAUUAGUGGAUUCAUAUACCUUAUACAAAUGGAAAUCAAACUUUAAAGUGUUUGUGGACUCUAAAUGGGAAAUAUAUUCAACAUUACUAAAAGAUUCUGUAUCCUCCUUUUCUGUUGCUGAAUGUAUGUACAAUUGGAAAGAAAUGAAUAUGUAUACACAAAGUUAUUUGCCUGGAAAUUGUUAAUAUAAAAGUUUGAAAUGCAGACACAUAUGGUACAUAUAUAAAAGUCAUUGUUUGAGUGUCCUCAAUUGUCAAAUUGAAUUUUUUCACCAUUGAUGGACAUUUCAUAUUAUUUUUUUUGCUAGCAAAUGGAAGCAAAUUUAACUUUUUCAUAGAAUUAAAGCUUUUUUAUGCAAAAUACCAUAGAACAUUGUUGGUACAUUUGUUGACCUUGAAAAGAAGUAAAUUUCUUUCUUUUAGAUUUCUUUCUUGUUGAUGUUUAGAGAUUUUAUUGUCUUAAUUUUCAUAUCCCUGCAGAAACUCAAUACAAACACCUCAACUUAUUUAAGAGUUUAAUGCCUUUUAUCUUGCCUUGAAAUUUUGAUCUAACUUUGUCUGGAUCAUAAGAAAAUAGUUUAUAUCCCUAGCUUUUUGCAAUAGACCCCUAUUGAUAUUGAGGUAAAAGGUUAAAGUUAAAGUUAAAAGUCACUACUUCCUUUGUAAUAGAGAGGGUUUCCAGGUAGUCUUCAGUACUCAAUAUACCCCCGCUCUGAAGAAGAGGGGAAUACACUGUAUAUUGUUCUAUCAUUGUAUGUCUGUGUGUCUGUAACAGAUUUCUCAGCAGCCCUUAAUCGAAGGUGCUUGAUAUUUUAACACAUUUUUUGUUUAGGUAUGCCGUAUGGUAAGAGUCAUUUUAGUACCAAUCAGAAGACUACUCUCUGUUAAAUGACGACUUUGUUUAUUUUUGGACAGAAUUUCGGAACUAAUUUUCGUCAAUGAUUUCUCAACAACUGUCAAUCACAAAUGCUUGAAAUUUUAACAUACUCUUUAUUAAGCAUGCCAUAUCAUCUCACAGGCUGCACGAAAUAAUCAUGAUAAUGUUAGACUUAAAUUCCCAUAUAAGAAUUAACUUAUUGAUAGAUUUUUAUAAUAAUUUUGUCAAUUUAACUUACUCUUUAUGAUCGAUUCAUUAUAUUUGUUAAAAGAAGGAUGUAUAUAUAAUCUUUGAUUUCUUUGA
rnacentral:misc_RNA from 1 species